rnacentral:SRP_RNA from 1 species
GUCAGGCAUGGUGGUGUACGCCUGUAGUCCUAGCUACUCAGGAGGCUGAGGUGGGAGGAUUGCUUGUGCCCAGGAGUUUGAGGUGGCAGUGAGCCAUGAUCAAGCAACUGUACUCCAGCCUGGGCAAAAGAGCAAGACUCCGUCUCUU